AUUGAACGCUGGCGGCAGGCCUAACACAUGCAAGUCGAACGGUAGCACAGAGAGCUUGCUCUCGGGUGACGAGUGGCGGACGGGUGAGUAAUGUCUGGGAAACUGCCCGACGGAGGGGGAUAACUACUGGAAACGGUAGCUAAUACCGCAUAACGUCGCAAGACCAAAGUGGGGGACCUUCGGGCCUCACACCAUCGGAUGUGCCCAGAUGGGGUUGGAUAGUAGGUGGGGUAAUGGCUCACCUAGGCGACGAUCCCUAGCUGGCCCGAGAGGAUGACCAGCCAAACUGGAACUGAGACACGGUCCAGACUCCUACGGGAGGCAGCAGUGGGGAAUAUUGCACAAUGGGCGCAAGCCUGAUGCAGCCAUGCCGGGUGUAUGAAGAAGGCCUUCGGGUUGUAAAGUACUUUCAGCGGGGAGGAAGGCGGUGAAGUUAAUAACUUCACCGAUUGACGUUACCCGCAGAAGAAGCACCGGCUAACUCCGUGCCAGCCGCCGCGGUAA
rnacentral:rRNA from 1 species